AACCUGCAAACAUCUUUCCGAGCAGCACUCCUGUAACCAAAGAAUGUGUGGACCAUCCUCUCUACACAAGCUUUUGUGAAAGGAAAGCAACAGAGCACAUGUGUAGGGAACAUGCAGAUUUUAUGGACAUUUAUUGUCCUAAGUCAUGUGAACGCUGCGGUUGAGCAGUAACAAAGUAAUGAAGCCCAUCAGAAAAUCAAGCUGAAGAUUAACCUCAUUAUAUAUCCAGAGGCUUUGUUUAUUGCACAGAACUUUUAUUUCACCUUAAUGAAUAAUAAAUUCAGUCAUUAAAACUGAAAAAAGAAAAGAAUGGAACGGAAUGCUGAGUUGAUUGACAAUAAAGAGUAUUAGCUAAAACUAGAU